AAGACUAUACUUUCAGAGACCAUUUCUAUAUUUUACUACUAGGGAGGUUUCUCUGACCAUGUAGAGCACUCGAAACCAUGGAGAGGAGCCAGAGCAUUCUCUCCUGAGCAUGAAGCCAGUGCUAGGCGUUGCUUUUGUAUCUGCCUUUUACCACUGACAGUUGUUCUUGUCUUCCUUUGGAAGAGUGAGAGGGAGAGGAUAUAGAUUGAGUGG
rnacentral:snoRNA from 1 species